rnacentral:lncRNA from 1 species
AUAAGACCAUGGGACACACCAGGAUGAAUCUUGAGCCAGUUCAUCUACUUCUUACAACAUUACUGACCCCACUGCAAAAGGAAAUGAGUGUGGCUGAGGAAACUUUCUUUGUUUUCUUAUAUUCCUGGAUGCCUGAGAAGACAUGUACACCAGGUCACAAUCCUCAACAAAGACCUCCAAACCCCAAGAAAGGUGAGACUCCCUCCGUUCUUUUAUGAGUCUCCUGGGCACUGUGUCUGCACCUACACUCUCUCUCUACUUUCAGUAAACUCUGCCUUCACCUCCUACUGGUUCGCAUUUAUCUUUGUCCUGCACGCAGGCACGGACCCCCUGGGCUGGUCCUGUGGGACCCCCUCUGCAUUC